UUCGUCGUCCUCCUCAAAGCCACCGAAAAUAUUCUAUACUUCUCUCAGCCACCCUAUAUUUUCAGUCACAAGUUUGAAUCUCAGGACCGCUUGAUUUGGAACUCAAGACAAGUUUUUUUAAGACUUGUUUUGCUUUCGUUUGAAACAUAUCUCGAACUGGCUUGCGUGGGUAUGUCAUCUCACAGCAUGGUUUAGAUGAAGCAGCUGCAAAACUAGGAGCUCAAGGUUUAUUUCGUUACGGAAAAGCUUCGGGUUUUUUAUUUUUUUCAGCCCAUAUAAAAUACUGCCGUAAUCACAGUGUUAAGAGGAAACGACGAUAGAAGCACACCGGAUGCUCGACGGAAUGCCUCGCUUGAAUUCUAUCGCUUGUAGAUGCUGGGUUCAAUCAGAUACCUAGUACUGUUUGUGCUACAACAGAUACCAGUACGGAUUUGAAGUGUUUCUUUGUCUGAAAUGAUUUUUUGAACGAAGUUUUGGACGAUUGGUUAAUUCCUAGGGAUCAGUCGAUCACAAGUAUAAAAAGACUUAAUAUAUUGAAUUAUAUAAUUUUUAGAGUAAGAUUUUCUUUGAACAGGAAGGAACCAUAUUUUUCAUUUCUUA